GAUUUGAGUGGCGAGCAAAAGCGUCCUUGGAACGGACGAAACGCGGGUUCGAUUCCCGCCUGAGGCC